rnacentral:rRNA from 1 species
UAUAUAUAGCAUAGUGUUAAUCCACUGAAUCCCAUUAGAACUCCACAGUUAAGUGCACUCGAGCUAGAGUAGUACUGGGAUGGAUGACUUCUCGACAAUUCCUAGUGUUUUACAUGC